UGGGGAAUAUUGCACAAUGGGCGAAAGCCUGAUGCAGCAACGCCGCGUGAGGGAUGACGGCCUUCGGGUUGUAAACCUCUUUUAGUAGGGAAGAAGCGAAAGUGACGGUACCUGCAGAAAAAGCACCGGCUAACUACGUGCCAGCAGCCGCGGUAAUACGUAGGGUGCAAGCGUUGUCCGGAAUUAUUGGGCGUAAAGAGCUCGUAGGCGGUUUGUCGCGUCUGCUGUGAAAUCCCGAGGCUCAACCUCGGGUCUGCAGUGGGUACGGGCAGACUAGAGUGUGGUAGGGGAGAUUUGAAUUCCUGGUGUAGCGGUGGAAUGCGCAGAUAUCAGGAGGAACACCGAUGGCGAAGGCAGAUCUCUGGGCCAUUACUGACGCUGAGGAGCGAAAGCAUGGGGAGCGAACA
rnacentral:rRNA from 1 species